CGCAAAACUCCAAAUUUGGAUUCGGCCAUAUGGGAUCUUCGGCAAGCGAAGUCAUCAGCUUCUUCUGCUGGAUUCAGCUUCAGCUACCACUGCUCACCAAAUAAAAAGUGUGUUUUAAAGUAAGGGAUUUCUUACAAUCUGGAACAUAAACCCAAAUGAGAAGUUUACCUUUAUGGGGAAUAGAAUAAAAGUGCCAGUUGAAGCUGUCGGGACUUAUCGUUUAAUCCUAAAUACUGGUUAUUGUUUGGAUUCAUAUGAGACUUUUUAUGUUACUAGUAUUUCUAGGAAUUUAGUUUCAUUGUCUAAAUUAGUUGUUUCUGGGUACACUUGUAACUUUAAUGAAGGUUUUUUCAGUUUAUUU